UGGGGUGUGGGUCAGUGGUAGAGCACUUGCCUAGUAGGCCAGAGGGCCUGAGUUUGAUCCCCAGCACCACAC
rnacentral:tRNA from 1 species